rnacentral:lncRNA from 1 species
AGAUUAAAAAAAUGUUUGUACUUCUCCUCGCGCAUUCACAAUGUCCUCAAUUCGAACCGAUCCCCUAACGCAUAAAAUAAAACACGCCGCCCAAAGCGACAUUCAUACCCAAACUGAGAUAAAAAAAAAAAAAACAAAAAAAAAAAACCAACUAAAUUUGAACUUGUUGGUCUGUCAAUAGAACCAUUUCAACAUUAAUGUGUCACAUUUUAAGGCAACAUCUAGUGGGGCAACUGUUUUUGGAGGUGUUCAACUGUAAAUGAUACAUGUAUCUCUUCGUUUAAGUAUUCAACACAAC